GGUAAUGCCGGAUGCUCCGACUCCUCGCAUGGGGUGUCGGGAAAGAUUAUAUCGGUAUGGGAUGGGGUCGCGUCCUAUCAGGUAGUCGGCGGGGUAACGGCCCACCGAGCCUACGACGGGUAGCCGGCCUGAGAGGGCGACCGGCCACAUUGGGACUGAGAUACGGCCCAGACUCCUACGGGAGGCAGCAGUGGGGAAUAUUGCACAAUGGGCGCAAGCCUGAUGCAGCGACGCCGCGUGCGGGAUGACGGCCUUCGGGUUGUAAACCGCUUUUGAUCGGGAGCAAGCCUUCGGGUGAGUGUACCUUUCGAAUAAGCACCGGCUAACUACGUGCCAGCAGCCGCGGUAAUACGUAGGGUGCAAGCGUUAUCCGGAAUUAUUGGGCGUAAAGGGCUCGUAGGCGGUUCGUCGCGUCCGGUGUGAAAGUCCAUCGCUUAACGGUGGAUCUGCGCCGGGUACGGGCGGGCUGGAGUGCGGUAGGGGAGACUGGAAUUCCCGGUGUAACGGUGGAAUGUGUAGAUAUCGGAAA
rnacentral:rRNA from 1 species